rnacentral:tRNA from 4 species
GGCGAGGUAGCUCAGUUGAUUAGAGCGUUCGGUUCAUACCCGAGAGGCCAUGGGUUUGAGUCCCAUCCCCGCUACCA